rnacentral:rRNA from 1 species
GACGAACGCUGGCGGCGUGCCUAACACAUGCAAGUCGAACGGAAAGGCCCUGCUUUUGUGGGGUGCUCGAGUGGCGAACGGGUGAGUAACACGUGAGUAACCUGCCCUUGACUUUGGGAUAACUUCAGGAAACUGGGGCUAAUACCGGAUAGGAGCUCCUGCUGCAUGGUGGGGGUUGGAAAGUUUCGGCGGUGGGGGAUGGACUCGCGGCUUAUCAGCUUGUUGGUGGGGUAGUGGCUUACCAAGGCUUUGACGGGUAGCCGGCCUGAGAGGGUGACCGGCCACAUUGGGACUGAGAUACGGACCAGACUCCUACGGGAGGCAGCAGUGGGGAAUAUUGCACAAUGGGCGGAAGCCUGAUGCAGCAACGCCGCGUGCGGGAUGACGGCCUUCGGGUUGUAAACCGCUUUCGCCUGUGACGAAGCGUGAGUGACGGUAAUGGGUAAAGAAGCACCGGCUAACUACGUG